rnacentral:misc_RNA from 1 species
AUAGCAAAAUCCAGAAUGUUUUUUCCCUCCUCAUUUCGGUUGCCAAAUCCAAAACCUCCUCACUAAAUCGGUUGCAAACAGAUUUAAUAAAAGUUUUUUCUAUUCUUUCUCUCCCUUUCCUCAUAAAUUUAAUUUUGAAAAAUCAUGUCAACUUGCUUGUCUGCAAACAAAGCAGUACAUAGUACAUACCUGAACAAGAUCUUG